CCUACGGGGAGCUGCAGUGGGGAAUAUUGGACAAUGGGCGAAAGCCUGAUCCAGCCAUGCCGCGUGUGUGAAGAAGGCCUUCGGGUUGUAAAGCACUUUCAGUGGGGAAGAAAGCCUUGGGGCUAAUACCCUCGAGGAAGGACAUCACCCACAGAAGAAGCACCGGCUAACUCCGUGCCAGCAGCCGCGGUAAUACGGAGGGUGCGAGCGUUAAUCGGAAUUACUGGGCGUAAAGCGCGCGUAGGCGGUCUGAUAAGCCGGUUGUGAAAGCCCCGGGCUCAACCUGGGAACGGCAUCCGGAACUGUCAGGCUAGAGUGCAGGAGAGGAAGGUAGAAUUCCCGGUGUAGCGGUGAAAUGCGUAGAGAUCGGGAGGAAUACCAGUGGCGAAGGCGGCCUUCUGGACUGACACUGACGCUGAGGUGCGAAAGCGUGGGUAGCAAACAGGAUUAGAUACCCAGUAAUC
rnacentral:rRNA from 1 species